GACGAACGCUGGCGGCGUGCCUAAUACAUGCAAGUCGAGCGAUGAAGCCUGGUGCUUGCACCAUUCUGAAGAGCAGAGCACGGGUGAGUAACGCGUGGAGCCUCUGCCUUUCAGCGGGGUACAUCAUGUGGACUCGAAUGCUAAUACCGCAUAACCACUUUAUACAUAAGGUUUAAGUUUGAAAGAUGCCAUUGCAUCACUCACACAUGAUCCCGCGUUGUAUUAGCUAGUUGGUGAGGUACAGGCUCACCAAGGCGAUGAUACGUAGCCGACCUGAGAGGAUGAUCGGCCACAUUGGGAGUGAGACACGGCCCAAACGCCUACGGGAGGCGGCAGGAGGGAUACUGCGGCAAUGGACGGAAGUCUUACCGAGCAGGGCCGCGGGAGUGAGGAAGGUUUUCGGGUCGUAAAACACUGUUGGUGGAGUAGAACGUGGGUGAGAGUGGAAAGCUCAUCGAGUGACGGUAACGGCCCAGAAAGGGACGGCUAACUACGUG
rnacentral:rRNA from 1 species